GAUGAACGCUGGCGGCGUGCCUAAUACAUGCGAGUCGAGCGAAUGGAUUAAGAGCUUGCUCUUAUGAAGUUAGCGGCGGACGGGUGAGUAACACGUGGGUAACCUGCCCAUAAGACUGGGAUAACUCCGGGAAACCGGGGCUAAUACCGGAUAAUAUUUUGAACUGCAUGGUUCAAAAUUGAAAGGCGGCUUCGGCUGUCACUUAUGGAUGGACCCGGGUCGCAUUAGCUAGUUGGUGAGGUAACGGCUCACCAAGGCAACGAUGCGUAGCCGACCUGAGAGGGUGAUCGGCCACACUGGGACUGAGACGCGGCCCAGACUCCUACGGGAGGCAGCAGUAGGGAAUCUUCCGCAAUGGACGAAAGUCUGACGGAGCAACGCCGCGUGAGUGAUGAAGGCUUUCGGGUCGUAAAACUCUGUUGUUAGGGAAGAACAAGUGCUAGUUGAAUAAGCUGGCACCUUGACGGUACCUAACCAGAAAGCCACGGCUAACUACGUGCCAGCCGCCGCCGUAA
rnacentral:rRNA from 1 species